UGGGGAAUAUUGCACAAUGGGCGCAAGCCUGAUGCAGCCAUGCCGCGUGUGUGAAGAAGGCCUUCGGGUUGUAAAGCACUUUCAGCGGGGAGGAAGGCGGUGAGGUUAAUAACCUUGGCGAUUGACGUUACCCGCAGAAGAAGCACCGGCUAACUCCGUGCCAGCAGCCGCGGUAAUACGGAGGGUGCAAGCGUUAAUCGGAAUUACUGGGCGUAAA
rnacentral:rRNA from 1 species